AUUGAACGCUGGCGGCAGGCCUAACACAUGCAAGUCGAGCGGUAGCACAGAGAGCUUGCUCUCGGGUGACGAGCGGCGGACGGGUGAGUAAUGUCUGGGAAACUGCCUGAUGGAGGGGGAUAACUACUGGAAACGGUAGCUAAUACCGCAUAAUGUCGCAAGACCAAAGAGGGGGACCUUCGGGCCUCUUGCCAUCAGAUGUGCCCAGAUGGGAUUAGCUAGUAGGUGGGGUAACGGCUCACCUAGGCGACGAUCCCUAGCUGGUCUGAGAGGAUGACCAGCCACACUGGAACUGAGACACGGUCCAGACUCCUACGGGAGGCAGCAGUGGGGAAUAUUGCACAAUGGGCGUAAGCCUGAUGCAGCCAUGCCGCGUGUAUGAAGAAGGCCUUCGGGUUGUAAAGUACUUUCAGCGGGGAGGAAGGUGUUGAGGUUAAUAACCUCAGCAAUUGACGUUACCCGCAGAAGAAGCACCGGCUAACUCCGUGCCAGCAGCCGCAGUAAUAC
rnacentral:rRNA from 1 species